UAGUGCAAAAAUCUUCUCUAAAGCUCCAAAAUGAAGCUAGGGCUCAUCCAAUCCAACCUAAUGGAAGCCUCUAAUCCACUCAAUCUAGCUCCAAAAGCCCUAGAUUCAAAAUGCCCAAAUAAACCCUAAAUUUCCAUUUCUAGGGUUUGAUCUCAAAAUCUCCAAUAAAACUUGAAUCUAGAGGGAGAGAACAUGUUGCUUACCUCUUAGAAGCUUCAAAACAAGCUCUAAAUCCUUUAAAUCCCAAGAUCUAUCCUCCACUUAGCUCCAAAUCCAAGCUUGAGGCUUCAUCCAUGGUGGAAAUGGCACCAAAGGGCAAAAGAGAAGAAAAUCCAUCAAAAAACCAAGCAAAAUGGAGAUCAAAAUCAAAUGGGACAAGGUGGAGCUUCACUCACCUUCCUCUCCUCUGGUUCCAGCACAAAAAAAGCCCUAAGGGGCGUGGGUGCUGUUAUAAGAAGCCCACAAUCGCGAAAAACCCCCUGCAGUUCAAACUGCACGAAGUCUGCCUCCUUGU
rnacentral:lncRNA from 1 species